ACCUUACCUACCCUUGACAUGGUCGGAAUCCUGAAGAGAUUCGGGAGUGCUCGAAAGAGAACCGGCGCACAGGUGCUGCAUGGCUGUCGUCAGCUCGUGUCGUGAGAUGUUGGGUUAAGUCCCGCAACGAGCGCAACCCUUGUCCUUAGUUGCUACGCAAGAGCACUCUAAGGAGACUGCCGGUGACAAACCGGAGGAAGGUGGGGAUGACGUCAAGUCCUCAUGGCCCUUAUGGGUAGGGCUUCACACGUCAUACAAUGGUCGGAACAGAGGGUUGCCAACCCGCGAGGGGGAGCUAAUCCCAGAAAACCGAUCGUAGUCCGGAUUGCACUCUGCAACUCGAGUGCAUGAAGCUGGAAUCGCUAGUAAUCGCGGAUCAGCAUGCC
rnacentral:rRNA from 1 species